UAUGAUCCAGAGUACCACGGGACACGUGAAACCCUGUGGGAAGCAGGAGGGACCACCCUCCAAGGCUAAAUACUACCUAGUGACCGAUAGCGUAUAGUACCGUGAGGGAAAGGUGAAAAGAACCCCGGGAGGGGAGUGAAAUAGAACCUGAAACCCUGCACUUACAAGCUGUGGAAGCACAUUUCUUGUGUGACCGCGUACUUUUUGUAGAACGGGCCAACGAGUUACGUUAAGUAGCAAGGUUAAGCACUUAAGGUGCGGAGCCGUAGCGAAAGCGAGUUUUAACUGAGCGUUCAGUUACUUGACGUAGACCCGAAACCGGGCGACCUACCCAUGAGCAGGAUGAAGCGAAAGUAAAAUUUCGUGGAGGUCCGAACCCACGAGCGUUGAAAAGCUCGGGGAUGACUUGUGGGUAGCGGUGAAAUUCCAAUCGAGCCCGGAGAUAGCUGGUUCUCCCCGAAAUAGCUUUAGGGCUAGCCUCAAGGUGAGAGAUACGGAGGUAGAGCACUGAAUGUCCUAGGGGGUAUUGCACCUACCGAAGACUAUCAAACUCCGAAUGCCGUCAUCUUAUACUUGGGAGUCAGACUGUGGGUGAUAAGAUUCAUAGUCGAAAGGGCAACAGCCCAGAUCGUCAGCUAAGGUCCCUAAAUGUAAGUUAAGUGGUAAAGGAUGUGGGAUUGCACAGACAACCAGGAUGUUGGCUUAGAAGCAGCCACUCAUUCAAAGAGUGCGUAAUAGCUCACUGGUCGAGUGAUCCUGCGCCGAAGAUUUCCGGGGCUAAAACUUACUACCGAAGCUACGGCAUCAGUAAUGAUGGGUAGGGGAGCUUCCCAUACGGGUUGAAGCAUGACCGUAAGGACAUGUGGACAGUAUGGGAGUGAGAAUGUUGGCAUGAGUAGCGAGAUGUGGGUGAGAAUCCCACAGGCCGUAAACCCAAGGUUUCCAGGGGAAGGUUCGUCCGCCCUGGGUUAGUCGGGACCUAAGCUGAGGCCGAAAGGCGUAGGUGAUGGACAACAGGUUGAUAUUCCUGUACUACCGAUAACCGUUUGAGAGAAGGGAUGACACAGUAGGAUAAGCUAAGCACACUGUUGGUUAUGUGUGCCCAAGCAUUGAGGCAGUCAAAGCAGGCAAAUCCGCUUUGAUAAUGCUGGGAUGUGAUGGGGAGCGAAAUUUAGUAGCGAAGUAGCUGAUUUCACACUGUCAAGAAAAGUCUCUAUCGAGGUUAAAGGUACCCGUACCGCAAACCGACACAGGUGGGUGAGGAGAGUAUCCUAAGGCCAGCGAGAGAACUGUUGUUAAGGAACUCGGCAAAAUGACCCCGUAACUUAGGGAUAAGGGGUGCCACCAUCCGGUGGCCGCAGAGAAUAGGCCCAAGCGACUGUUUACCAAAAACAUAGGUUUCUGCUAAGUCGCAAGACGAUGUAUAGGAGCUGACGCCUGCCCGGUGCUGGAAGGUUAAGGGGAUCUGUUAGAGCAAUCGAAGCAGUGAACUUAAGCCCCAGUAAACGGCGGCCGUAACUAUAACGGUCCUAAGGUAGCGAAAUUCCUUGUCGGGUAAGUUCCGACCCGCACGAAAGGCGUAACGAUUUGGGCACUGUCUCAACAACAGACUCGGUGAAAUUGUAAUUCCGGUGAAGAUGCCGGAUACCUGCGACAGGACGGAAAGACCCCAUGGAGCUUUACUGUAGCUUGACAUUGGGUCUUGGUACUACAUGUACAGGAUAGGUGGGAGGCUUUGAAACCAGGACGCCAGUUUUGGCGGAGCCAUCCUUGGGAUACCACCCUUGUAGUACUGGGACUCUAACCAUAGGCCAUGAAUCUGGUCUUGGGACACUGUCAGGUGGGCAGUUUGACUGGGGCGGUCGCCUCCCAAAAGGUAACGGAGGCGCUCAAAGGUUCUCUCAGUACGGUCGGAAAUCGUACGUAGAGUGUAAAGGCAAAAGAGAGCUUGAUUGCAAGACAUACAGGUCGAGCAAGGAUGAAAAUCGGACUUAGUGAUCCGGUGGUUCUGCGUGGAAGGGCCAUCGCUCAACGGAUAAAAGCUACCCUGGGGAUAACAGGCUUAUCUCCCCCAAGAGUCCACAUCGACGGGGAGGUUUGGCACCUCGAUGUCGGCUCAUCACAUCCUGGGGCUGUAGUAGGUCCCAAGGGUUGGGCUGUUCGCCCAUUAAAGUGGUACGCGAGCUGGGUUCAGAACGUCGUGAGACAGUUCGGUCCCUAUCCGUCGCAGGCGUAGGAAAUUUGAGAAGACCUGUCCUUAGUACGAGAGGACCGGGAUGGACGUACCUCUGGUGUACCAGUUGUCCUGCCAAGGGCAUGGCUGGGUAGCUAUGUACGGAAUGGAUAAGCGCUGAAAGCAUCUAAGCGCGAAGCCAACUUCAAGAUAAGAUUUCCCACCGCAAGGGUAAGACCCCAGAAAGACUAUCUGGUUGAUAGGUCGAAGGUGUAAGUGCAGCAAUGUAUUUAGCUUAUCGAUACUAAUAGGUCGAGGACUUGACCAA
rnacentral:rRNA from 1 species